rnacentral:rRNA from 1 species
UACAGGGGGUGCAAACGUUGCUCGGAAUCAUUGGGCGUAAAGCGCACGUAGGCGGUCUGUUAUGUCGGAUGUGAAAGCCCUUGGCUCAACUGAGGAAGUGCAUCCGAAACUGGCAGGCUAGAGUACUAAAGAGGGUCGCGGAAUUCCCGGUGUAGAGAUGAAAUUCGUAGAUAUCGGGAGGAACACCGGUGGCGAAGGCGGCGACCUGGGUAGAUACUGACGCUGAGGUGCGAAAGCGUGGGGAGCAAACAGG